rnacentral:lncRNA from 1 species
AGAGGAUUGGUUGAGGGGAGAGAGGAAAGAAUGAAGGAAGAGGAAUGGGUGGCUUGAGCAAGUUUCCGGUAGCUUGACAAAAGCUUUGUCAAGCUUUUGAGUAUUUUGCUAGAAGAGAAAAGGGGAAGCAAUGAAAGAACAUAGCUUGAAAUCGAAGGGUUCCAGAGGUGAGAGGUGAUGUUUGCUCUCUCUGGAUGUGUUUAUGGGAGAGAGAGGAAGAAGAUGGAAGCAUGAGUGGCUUUAGCAGAUUUCCAGCACCUGAUGGAAGCUUGGUCAAGC